rnacentral:rRNA from 1 species
AUGUGCAUUCCUAAGAAAGAGGGAGGUAUGGGCUUUCGUGAUUUACAUUGUUUUAACAAAGCUAUGCUAGCGAAGCAGUGCUGGAGGCUACUAUCCGAUCCAGACUCUCUAUGCGCCCAAGUACUACGGGCGAAAUAUUAUCCGGACGGGGACUUGAUGAAUGCAUCUUUGAAAAAAGGUCCAUCGUAUACUUGGCAGAGUAUCAUGGCGGGUAUGAAAAUCUUCAAGCUAGGGGCGAUUUGGCGACCAGGGAAUGGUGCUUCAAUUGAUAUUUGGUCUGACCAGUGGAUACCCACCAGCCAUGACCGCAAGGUAAUGACCCCUAGGGGGCUAAGUUUGUUACAGAAAGUCCAGGACUUGAUUGAUCCAAUUUCUGGAAAUUGGGAUGAGCAGCUCGUGCGUGAAAACUUCUGGCCGGUUGAUGCAGAGAGGAUAUUGUAAAUUCCGCCGUCAUCACAUGGACAAUCAUACUUCAUCUCAUGGCAUUUUUCGAAGUCAGGUUGCUUUACUGUCCGCUCAGCAUAUCAUAUUACAUGGAAAAAUGAAUAUAGGACAUGA